rnacentral:rRNA from 1 species
UUAAAAAAAUUCUUUUUUAAAAUUAAAAAUUGAAUUUUUUUUAAUUUGUGAAUAAACAAUUAUAAAAAUUAAAGACAAGAAGACCCUAAGAAUUUGAAGAUCAAAUAAAUAAAAAAUUUUUUAUUUAUUUGAUCUUGAUUGGGGCGAUCAAAAAAUAUUAAUAACUUUUUAAAUUAAAAUGAUCUAUUAAUAAUAAACUAAUGAAAUAAAUACUCUAGGGAUAACAGCGUAAUAAUUUUUGAUAGAUCUUAUAGACAAAAUAGUUUGCGACCUCGAUGUUGGAUUAGGAUUCUUAUUUAAUGAAGAUGUUAAAUAAAGAAGUUUGUUCAACUUUUAAAUUCCUACUUGAUCUGGUUCCCAGAGACCGGGA